CGCAAAAACUUGGGUGAGGUCAACCUCACCGCAUGAGACGGGUUUGCCCGACCCGAAUUCGCACCCGGCCCGACCCGUAGUAACAAAAUAUAAAAGCCUUUUUUCUAAUUAUUUUGCCCGAUAUUUCUCUCCGCCGCUUCAAUUCUCUCUCUCGGCUCUUUCAAUUCUUCUCUCGGCCGCUUCAAUUAUUCGCUCAAGUCCACCGCUUCAAGUUCGUCUUCGAUUUCUCCGUUCACCGGUGUGAUUCCGUUCUUCGUUUCCGAUCAAGGUUCUCCGGCGUGAAUUUCGGCGUGUUUUACGUGAUUCCUCAGUUUAUAAUUUUUCUUCGCUUUUCUUCAGCAGCGGCGGCGGAAAUUCUGUAGUGAAGGAGUUAGGGCACGGCCUUGUUUUUGUUGUGCGGAGAGGAAAGACAGAGAUAAAAUUGGAGUUUGGAUAGGGGCGGAGGAAUAAAAGGGUACCUCCAAGUUUUUGCCUUGGAGAAUUAACUUCACAGAAGAGAGAGGGCCAUCCCACGACAUUUUGAUCCCAAACGAUCUCUGGCCGCUAUUUCUGACAAGGAGCAUUUCGUGGGAGCCCAGAAAACUGGAUUUUUGUGAAGGAAAUGAAAGCGGGUGAGAAUUAUAGGAGCAGCUAAACGAUGAAGAAGAAGACGAUGUGGAGCAGGAAACAUGGUGCUGAUGAGUGAAGCUCUUCUGUAUAGUUGGAGCUGCCAGUAGCGUAGCCAUCUUUUUUCUUAAUACUUUGGGAUUUGAGUUUCUUUGAAUUUCACUCUUGAUGAUUGUUCUUGAUUCUUGAAGAUGAACAUGAAUGAAUGCCGUACAAACAGCCAUUUAGAGA